AUACGUAGGGGGCGAGCGUUGUCCGGAAUGAUUGGGCGUAAAGGGCGCGUAGGCGGCCCGGUAAGUCUGGAGUGAAAGUCCUGUUUUUAAGAUGGGAAUUGCUUUGGAUACUGUCGGGCUUGAGUGCAGGAGAGGUAAGUGGAAUUCCCAGUGUAGCGGUGAAAUGCGUAGAGAUUGGGAGGAACACCAGUGGCGAAGGCGACUUACUGGACUGUAACUGACGCUGAGGCGCGAAAGUGUGGGGAGCAAACAGGAUUAGAUACCCUGGUAGUCCACACUGUAAACGAUGAAUGCUAGGUGUAAGGGGUAUCGACCCCUUCUGUGCCGCAGUCAACACAAUAAGCAUUCCGCCUGGGGAGUACGGCCGCAAGGUUGAAACUCAAAUGAAUUGGCGGGG
rnacentral:rRNA from 1 species